rnacentral:sRNA from 1 species
UGACCGUUCCGCAAGAUCGGAAACUAAGGCCAUACGGACAGCCGGGCAACUGCCGA